rnacentral:lncRNA from 1 species
CACUUUGUCAUUCAUUUAUUGAGCACUGUGGAGUACAUGAUAGGAACGAGGCUCAGGGGUAGGUUCCGUGGGAGAUGUCCCCCUCUGGGCCUUCAUAUUGUCCCUGGAAUCUUCUUUACCAACAUUCUUCCUCUCUCUGUUUAAUCACAAAGCUUCUGCUGAGAAUUGUGCUGUUACACAAACAAAGAUUGAGCAGCUCUGGAGGAGGGUAGAACUGUGUGAAAGAUUGCAAGCUGUGCUCAGUAGAAAUGUUCCAUUAAAUCUCUGUCUUUAUCGUGAGAACAUUACAAGCUGUUCUCGUUGUCCACACUCCAGCCAGACGAAAUGGUGGCAGGAGUUGUGGAGCCUGUCUGACACCCCCUGCCUGUUUCUUCCAUCUGGAGUCAGACUUUGGGGGGUGAACACGAGCAGUGUCACUCACCUCAAAGUAGUCUUUACUGUGGUAGCAAAGGAGCAGUGUUUCUGCUUUACCUCAGCUCAAGAAGCUCAUUUAGUCUAUGACAGCAGUCUACCUGGUCUAGGAAGGAUCCAUCUAUUUCACUUUGCCACCCAUCCCCAAAUUCAUCCUGGACUCCUCUCCCAGAGCAACCUUGGACCAUGGAAAUAUGCUUCAGGUACCUUCUCUGCUUCAAAGCCUAGAGUAGCUCCCCAUUUCUUUCAAGAU